rnacentral:lncRNA from 1 species
UUUUGUAGCAGUUUAUAAAAUGUAUAUUCUGUAAUUGCAAACUAAUUUCUCAAAAAUAAAAUGUAAGUAGCACACAGUAUAUUGUAUGUUUCUCUCUUUCAGCUGCAGAAAGUAUUACAUAUAGGACACCUUCAGGCAUGUGGGUCUAUACAGCAAGCAGCAGUCUUAUUUAAUGAAUAUCUAGAUCUGAAUUGGGAUGGCAAAAAAGUUGAACAGAAUCUGACUUACGAGAGAAACCGACCAUCUUAUCCUGAUAAAAUUCAGCUAGAGGCCACUUUGGAAAACAUUUUACUGACUUCAUGCACCAAGCAACAUAUUCUAGGUAAAAUGGAAACAAACUAUUCAACAUGGCUGGAUUAUUACAUAAGCCUUGGACUCUGUGAUCUUCCGAAUGUAAUUGUCUUCUCUGGAAAACAUCAGCUUAAUAAAGGAGAUGUAAUUCUGCAAUCAGAAGGCCGGUUCCAUCUUGCUAGUGAUAGAAAAGAUGAUGGAUUGAUCACAGUAGUCUUAAAGAACAAUAGUGCAGAUGACCUCAAGAAAUAUUCUGUGGAAUUUGAACUAAAAGCAUUUGAGGAUAUUUGGCUAGGCCUGACAGGAACUGCUACUUCCUCAGCUCUUCAAAGCCAAAUCCUGGUGGAGGGAAAUAUUGAUCAUAAAGAGAAAGUAAAAGUAGCUGCCUCUAAAGAGAAGCAAUGUCUUCAGUAUUACAUGGGGUACUUAAAGGGUAAGUACA